rnacentral:rRNA from 1 species
GAUGAACGCUGGCGGCGUGCUUAACACAUGCAAGUCGAACGAUGAUGCCCAGCUUGCUGGGUGGAUUAGUGGCGAACGGGUGAGUAACACGUGAGUAACCUGCCCUUGGCUCUGGGAUAAGCCUGGGAAACUGGGUCUAAUACCGGAUACGACCAUCUGGCGCAUGUCAUGGUGGUGGAAAGCUUUUGUGGUUUUGGAUGGACUCGCGGCCUAUCAGCUUGUUGGUGGGGUAAUGGCCUACCAAGGCGACGACGGGUAGCCGGCCUGAGAGGGUGACCGGCCACACUGGGACUGAGACACGGCCCAGACUCCUACGGGAGGCAGCAGUGGGGAAUAUUGCACAAUGGGCGCAAGCCUGAUGCAGAGACGCCGCGUGAGGGAUGACGGCCUUCGGGUUGUAAACCUCUUUCAGUAGGGAAGAAGCGAAAGUGACGUUACCUGCAGAAGAAGCGCCGGCUAACUACGUG